rnacentral:rRNA from 1 species
CAGUAGCCGCGGUAACACGGAGGGAGCUAGCGUUGUUCGGAAUCACUGGGCGUAAAGCGCACGUAGGCGGCUAUUCAAGUCAGGGGUGAAAGCCCGGGGCUCAACCCCGGAACUGCCUUUGAAACUAGAUAGCUUGAAUCUUGGAGAGGCGAGUGGAAUUCCGAGUGUAGAGGUGAAAUUCGUAGAUAUUCGGAAGAACACCAGUGGCGAAGGCGACUCGCUGGACAAGUAUUGACGCUGAGGUGCGAAAGCGUGGGGAGCAAACAGGAUUAGAUACCCCUGUAGUCCCUGUCUCUUAUAC